GUACUCGUUAAGGCUGAGCUGUGAUGGGGAGAAGACAUUGAGUCUUCGAGUCGUUGAUUUCACACUGCCGAGAAAAGCCUCUAGAUAGAAAAUAGGUGCCCGUACCGCAAACCGACACAGGUAGUCAAGAUGAGAAUUCUAAGGUGAGCGAGCGAACUCUCGUUAAGGAACUCGGCAAAAUGACCCCGUAACUUCGGGAGAAGGGGUGCUCUUUAGGGUUAACGCCCAGAAGAGCCGCAGUGAAUAGGCCCAAGCGACUGUUUAUCAAAAACACAGGUCUCUGCUAAACCGUAAGGUGAUGUAUAGGGGCUGACGCCUGCCCGGUGCUGGAAGGUUAAGAGGAGUGGUUAGCUUCUGCGAAGCUACGAAUCGAAGCCCCAGUAAACGGCGGCCGUAACUAUAACGGUCCUAAGGUAGCGAAAUUCCUUGUCGGGUAAGUUCCGACCCGCACGAAAGGCGUAACGAUUUGGGCACUGUCUCAACGAGAGACUCGGUGAAAUCAUAGUACCUGUGAAGAUGCAGGUUACCCGCGACAGGACGGAAAGACCCCGUGGAGCUUUACUGUAGCCUGAUAUUGAAAUUCGGCACAGCUUGUACAGGAUAGGUAGGAGCCUUUGAAACGUGAGCGCUAGCUUACGUGGAGGCGCUGGUGGGAUACUACCCUAGCUGUGUUGGCUUUCUAACCCGCACCACUUAUCGUGGUGGGAGACAGUGUCAGGCGGGCAGUUUGACUGGGGCGGUCGCCUCCUAAAAGGUAACGGAGGCGCUCAAAGGUUCCCUCAGAAUGGUUGGAAAUCAUUCAUAGAGUGUAAAGGCAUAAGGGAGCUUGACUGCGAGACCUACAAGUCGAGCAGGGUCGAAAGACGGACUUAGUGAUCCGGUGGUUCCGCAUGGAAGGGCCAUCGCUCAACGGAUAAAAGCUACCCCGGGGAUAACAGGCUUAUCUCCCCCAAGAGUUCACAUCGACGGGGAGGUUUGGCACCUCGAUGUCGGCUCAUCGCAUCCUGGGGCUGUAGUCGGUCCCAAGGGUUGGGCUGUUCGCCCAUUAAAGCGGUACGCGAGCUGGGUUCAGAACGUCGUGAGACAGUUCGGUCCCUAUCCGUCGUGGGCGUAGGAAAUUUGAGAGGAGCUGUCCUUAGUACGAGAGGACCGGGAUGGACAUACCUCUGGUGUACCAGUUGUCGUGCCAACGGCAUAGCUGGGUAGCUAUGUGUGGACGGGAUAAGUGCUGAAAGCAUCUAAGCAUGAAGCCCCCCUCAAGAUGAGAUUUCCCAACUUCGGUUAUAAGAUCCCUCAAAGAUGAUGAGGUUAAUAGGUUCGAGGUGGAAGCAUGGUGACAUGUGGAGCUGACGAAUACUAAUCGAUCGAAGACUUAAUC
rnacentral:rRNA from 1 species